CUUUCAUGUUUAUCUAAAAGCUUUUCCAAAUUAAAAUUUAUUCCCUUUAAUUCUAUUAUAAUAUUUAUACUAAACCAAGAAGCGUACCAAACAUUCCUAAUAUUUAUAUUAAAAUAUUAUAAAUUAUCAUGAUUCUAAACAUUUCCAACUAUCAUCCUUCUCUUUUAAACAAAUUUCAUUGAUUUUUAUGACUGCACUUAUCUUACCCCUUUUAAACUUGAGCUCAUAUU
rnacentral:lncRNA from 1 species